CACUCUCCGAACCCUUCUUCAUCAACGGAAGGAAGCCGUUGUCGGUGACUGCACCGAGACCGCUCAGAUCGAUGCUCUCCAACUGAGGGCAGAUCAUGCCCACCACGGCAAGGCUAGCGUCCGUGAAUCCUGGGCAAUCCUUGAUGGUCAGGGAACGCAGCGACUUGCAUACUGGGAGCUGCGCAGGUGCCGAGCAGAUGUCCUUGAUCCCGAUGCACUUGGACAAGGAGAGAGCCUUGAACUUGGGGUUGCAGUUCAGGAGGAAAGCAAGAAUGCCCACAAGAGUAACCUUGCUGCACUCCUCGAUCUGCAAAC
rnacentral:misc_RNA from 1 species